GUUUUGUUCGUUCGGCUCGCGUUAAGCAGGUG
ensembl:miRNA